GGCAACAGUGGGGAAUAUUGCACAAUGGGCGCAAGCCUGAUGCAGCCAUGCCGCGUGUAUGAAGAAGGCCUUCGGGUUGUAAAGUACUUUCAGCAGUGAGGAAGGUGGGGCAGUUAAUAGCUGUUUCAUUUGACGUUAGCUGCAGAAGAAGCACCGGCUAACUCCGUGCCAGCAGCCGCGGUAAUACGGAGGGUGCGAGCGUUAAUCGGAAUUACUGGGCGUAAAGCGCAUGCAGGUGGUUUGUUAAGUCAGAUGUGAAAGCCCGGGGCUCAACCUCGGAAUUGCAUUUGAAACUGGCAGACUAGAGUACUGUAGAGGGGGGUAGAAUUUCAGGUGUAGCGGUG
rnacentral:rRNA from 1 species